AUUGAACGUUGGCGGCAUGGAUUAGGCAUGCAAGUCGCACGAGAACCCAAUUAGCUUGCUAAGAGGGGGACAGUGGCGAAAGGGAGAGUAACGCGUGGUUACUUGCCCUCGAGACCGGGAUAGCGUCGGGAAACUGGCAGUAAUACCGGAUAACAUCUACGGAUCAAAUGGUGUGAUUCCGCUCGAGGAUAGGACCGCGUACUAUUAGCUUGUUGGUGAGGUAAUGGCUCACCAAGGCUGCGAUGGUUACCGGGUGUGAGAGCAUGGCCCGGCUCACUGGGACUGAGACACUGCCCAGACAUCUACGGAUGGCUGCAGUCGAGAAUCUUCGGCAAUGGACAAAAGUCUGACCGAGCGAUGCCGCGUGCGGGAUGAAGGCCCUCGGGUUGUAAACCGCUGUCAGUUGUUAGGAAAUGCUAGGGGGUUCUCCCCUUAGUUUGACCGAUCUUCAGAGGAAGGACGGGCUAAGUUCGUGCCAGCCGCCGCGGUAAAAC
rnacentral:rRNA from 1 species